rnacentral:lncRNA from 1 species
AUGCUGUCUUGUUAUAUAAAUGACCCUGUGUUUGUUGCACAAGUUCUAGUAUGCAAAAAUGUGGAAAGUCCUCCCUCCCUGAUUCAGGAGGCACAGUGAAGUACAGGCAUUUUCUUUACUUGUACUUGUAAUUUUCUUUUCAUCUUCUUUCUCCUCUUUCUUCUGCAGACAUAUUCGAGUGGUUAGCAGUCUAUUUUUGAGACGUAAGAAGUGAAGAUCAGACGUCUUCUCCAGUAACUCACCUUUAGCCAAUCAAAGCACAGAAUCAUAGUUUCUGCCUGGGCCAUGGUCCUGCCUCCCUCUGUCACCUUUGAGUUCCACGUGCUGUCGGCCCAUCUCAAACUCAUGACACAAUUGUUGACACAUAGAUGGUAGCCAGUGCUUG